rnacentral:rRNA from 1 species
AUACGGAGGAUCCGAGCGUUAUCCGGAUUUAUUGGGUUUAAAGGGAGCGUAGGUGGACAGUUAAGUCAGUUGUGAAAGUUUGCGGCUCAACCGUAAAAUUGCAGUUGAUACUGGUUGUCUUGAGUACAGUAGAGGUGGGCGGAAUUCGUGGUGUAGCGGUGAAAUGCUUAGAUAUCACGAAGAACUCCGAUUGCGAAGGCAGCUCACUGGACUGUAACGGACACUGAUGCUCGAAAGUGUGGGUAUCAAACAGGAGUAGAUACCCUGGUAGUCCACACAGUAAACGAUGAAUACUCGCGGUUUGCUAUAUACAGUAAGCGGUCAAGCGAAAGCAUUAAGUAUUCCACCUGGGGAGUACGCCGGCAACGGUGAAACUCAAAUGAAUUGACGGGG